rnacentral:rRNA from 1 species
CAUGGCUCAGAUUGAACGCUGGCGGCAGGUCUAACACAUGCAAGUCGAACGGUAACAGGAAGAAGCUUGCUCUUUGCUGACGAGUGGCGGACGGGUGAGUAAUGUCUGGGAAACUGCCUGAUGGAGGGGGAUAACUACUGGAAACGGUAGCUAAUACCGCAUAACGUCGAAAGACCAUAGAGGGGGACCUUCGGGCCUCUUACCAUCGGAUGUGCCCAGAUGGGAUUAGCUAGUAGGUGGGGUAACGGCUCACCUAGGCGACGAUCCCUAGCUGGUCCGAGAGGAUGACCAGCCACACUGGAACUGAGACACGGUCCAGACUCCUACGGGAGGCAGCAGUGGGGAAUAUGGCACAAUGGGCGCAAGCCUGAAGCAGCCAUGCCGCGUGUAUGAAGAAGGCCUUCGGGUUGUAAAGUACUUUCAGCGGGGAGGAAGGGAGUAAAGUUAAUACCUUUGCUCAUUGACGUUACCCGCCGAAGAAGCACCGGCUACCUCCGUGCCAGCAGCCGCGGUAAUACGGAGCGGUGCAAGCGUUAAUCGGAAUUACUGGGCGUAAAGCGCACGCAGGCGGUUUGUUAAGUC